rnacentral:tRNA from 1 species
GGGGAUUUAGCUCAGCGGCAUAAGCGCCUGCCUUGCAAGCAGGAGGUCGUGAGUUCGAUCCCCG